rnacentral:lncRNA from 1 species
AGUUUAAUAGCUUCAUCUGUCAUUCCGUUGAUCUUCACCGUAUUGCAAAUCUCAUUGAAUGUGGUGAGAUGAUCAUAUGGACUUUCAUGUGACAGUCCAUUAAAUUGAUUGCUUUGCAACAAGUGAAUCAACGCCGACUUCAUCUCCAUGUUCAGUGCAUUGACCCUUGGCCUUGCUAUGCGUUAAAGUGUUGAAGGCCAACUAUAGUGGUAGCAUCUGUCAGAGUACGUCUCCUUUGAACUUCCUCCUCAGCCAUCUCUUAUGUGCUCUGGUUGGAUGCUUCUGGUGAGGGUUGCAACAAUCUCUCAAGAGAGGGGAAUAAAUCUCUGGAUGAUCUUUGAACCUUCCUUCUCCUUCAAUUUGCACUCAAUCCUUCAAGAAGAGGUUUUGUACUUUUCUUGCUUCUAGUACGAAUCGUAUCCUGCAUACAGAAGAAACAAAACUCUAAAAAGCACUUUUAUAUAAAAAUAAAACAAAAACAAAAAAAAAACAAAAAUCAAGUCAAAUUCAAUCAAUAAUCACACUACUAGAAUAGUUAAACUACGAGUCCCCG